rnacentral:rRNA from 1 species
GACGAACGCUGGCGGCGUGCCUAACACAUGCAAGUCGAGCGAAGUGAGUACUACGGUACGAACUUAGCGGCGGACGGGUGAGUAACGCGUGGACAAUCUACCCUGUAGACUGGGAUAACACCUCGAAAGGGGUGCUAAUACCGGAUAAUGUCGAGAAGCGGCCUCGCUUUUCGAAGAAAGGAGAGAAUCCGCUAUAGGAGGAGUCCGCGUCCCAUUAGCUAGUUGGGGAGGGUAACGGCCCACCAAGGCGACGAUGGGUAGCCGGCCUGAGAGGGUGAACGGCCACACUGGAACUGAGACCAGGUCCAGACUCCUACGGGAGGCAGCAGUGGGGAAUAUUGUGCAAUGGGGGAAACCCUGACACAGCAACGCCGCGUGAGCGAAGAAGGCCUUCGGGUUGUAAAGCUCAAUAGUAUGGGAAGAUAAUGACGGUACCAUACGAAAGCCCCGGCUAACUACGUGCCAGCAGCCGCGGUAA